AUUGAACGCUGGCGGCAUGCCUUACACAUGCAAGUCGAACGGUAACAGGUCUUCGGAUGCUGACGAGUGGCGAACGGGUGAGUAAUACAUCGGAACGUGCCCGAUCGUGGGGGAUAACGGAGCGAAAGCUUUGCUAAUACCGCAUACGAUCUACGGAUGAAAGCAGGGGACCGCAAGGCCUUGCGCGGACGGAGCGGCCGAUGGCAGAUUAGGUAGUUGGUGGGAUAAAAGCUUACCAAGCCGACGAUCUGUAGCUGGUCUGAGAGGACGACCAGCCACACUGGGACUGAGACACGGCCCAGACUCCUACGGGAGGCAGCAGUGGGGAAUUUUGGACAAUGGGCGAAAGCCUGAUCCAGCCAUGCCGCGUGCAGGAUGAAGGCCUUCGGGUUGUAAACUGCUUUUGUACGGAACGAAAAGACUCUUUCUAAUAAAGAGGGUCCAUGACGGUACCGUAAGAAUAAGCACCGGCUAACCACGUG
rnacentral:rRNA from 1 species